ACGUAGGUUGCGAGCGUUGUCCGGAUUUACUAGGCGUAAAGGGAGCGUAGGCGGAUUUUUAAGUGAGAUGUGAAAUACUCGGGCUUAACCUGAGUGCUGCAUUUCAAACUGGAAGUCUAGAGUGCAGGAGAGGAGAAGGGAAUUCCUAGUGUAGCGGUGAAAUGCGUAGAGAUUAGGAGGAACACCGAUGGCGAAGGCAGUUCUCUGGACUGUAACUGACGCUGAGGCGCGAAAGCGUGGGGAGCAAACAG
rnacentral:rRNA from 1 species